rnacentral:rRNA from 1 species
AGAGUUUGAUCCUGGCUCAGGAUGAACGCUAGCGGCAGGCUUAACACAUGCAAGUCGAGGGGUAACGAAGGUGCUUGCACCAGGCGACGACCGGCGCACGGGUGAGUAACGCGUAUGCAACCUACCUAUAACAGGGGGAUAGCCCGAAGAAAUUUGGAUUAAUACCCCGUAUAGUUUUAGUUUCGCAUGAAAUUAUUACGAAAGCUUCGGCGGUUAUAGAUGGGCAUGCGUGUCAUUAGGCAGUUGGUGAGGUAACGGCUCACCAAACCUACGAUGACUACGGGGUCUUAAAGGAUGAUCCCGCACACUGGUACUGAGACACGGACCAGACUCCUACGGGAGGCAGCAGUGAGGAAUAUUGGUCAAUGGGGGCAACCCUGAACCAGCCAUGCCGCGUGAAGGAUUAAGGCUUUAGGGUCGUAAACUUCUUUUAUAUAGGAAGAACUAUACUAACGUGUUAUUAUUUGACUGUACUAUAUGAAUAAGCAUCGGCUAACUCCGUGCCAGCAGCCGCGGUAAUACGGAGGAUGCAAGCGUUAUCCGGAUUUAUUAGGUUUAAAGGGUGUGUAGGCGGAGAGGUAAGUCAGAGGUGAAAUCCCACAGCUCAACUGUGGAACUGCCUUUGAUACUGCUUUUCUUGAGUAUAGUUGAGGUAGGCGGAAUGUGUAGUGUUGCGGUGAAAUGCUUAGAUAUUACACAGAACACCGAUUGCGUAGGCAGCUUACUAAGCUUUACUGACGCCGAUGCACGAAAGCGUGGGUAGCGAACAGGAUUAGAUACCCUGGUAGUCCACGCCGUAAACGAUGAUCACUCGCUGUUGGCGAUACAUAGUCAGCGGCUGAGCGAAAGCAUUAAGUGAUCCACCUGGGGAGUACGUCGGCAACGAUGAAACUCAAAGGAAUUGACGGGGGCCCGCACAAGCGGAGGAACAUGUGGUUUAAUUCGAUGAUACGCGAGGAACCUUACCCGGGCUUAAAUGGCUUAGAUCCUUCGGGAGAUUUUUUGUGAAAGCAGAAUGAAAUAGUCAAGGUGCUGCAUGGCUGUCGUCAGCUCGUGCCGUGAGGUGUCGGGUUAAGUCCCAUAACGAGCGCAACCCCUAUUCUUAGUUGCCAAGGGUAAUGCCGGGGACUCUAAGAAGACUGCCGCCGUAAGGUGUGAGGAAGGUGGGGAUGACGUCAAGUCAGCACGGCCCUUACGUCCGGGGCUACACACGUGUUACAAUGGCCGGUACAAUGGGUUGCUACCUGGUAACAGGAUGCUAAUCUCAAAAGCCGGUCUUAGUUCGGAUUGAAGUCUGCAACUCGACUUCAUGAAGUUGGAUUCGCUAGUAAUCGUAUAUCAGCAAUGAUACGGUGAAUACGUUCCCGGGCCUUGUACACACCGCCCGUCAAGCCAUGGAAGC